GGGCCUCGCGGCGCGCCACGCGUGUUGUGUUGUUGUUCGUGGUUGGAGCGGGGCGUCGAUGUGGUGUGGUGUUGAAUUAUACCCUAGGUUCCAUGGAGAGUCCACCACCAUCACCCGGACUAGAACUAAAGGUGGAGCCGGACUCUGGACCGGAAUCAGUGUCAGAGCCGCAGCCAGAUGCCGCCCCAGAGUGUGACACAGACCCGGAGCCGGGGCCGGAGCGGCGCUGCGCCGUCUGCGGCUGCCCGCUGCCGGCCGGCGGUCCGCCGCCGCAGGAGCUGUUCGACCUGCGCCUGUCGGGCGGCCGGCCGGCGGCGUCCGCGGUGCUGCCGCUGCGCCGGCUCGAUGUCACCAGCCCGUGGCGGCUCUGCGCUCCCCUGCACGGCGCUGCUCGAGAGCCGAGAGCGGCUGCGCGCCGCCGCGGCGAUCGGUGCCGCACGCGCUGAGCUGGAUGACUGGGUGGCGAGGGUGCUCUCCGGGGCCGGAGGUGCAGCCUCCGCCGACAGUGUGGAGCCGGCAGGACAGGGUGUGAGUGGGUGUGACAGAACAGGGGUCUCGGCGGGCUCCUCGAGUGCGCCGACGGUGGUAACAGACUCUGCAGAGGCAGCGAAUAGGACAGAGCACCCAGCUACCGCAGCUGACGAGUGUGACAGAACAGUGGCCGGUAAACAUGGUGCAGAUGCGUCCGAAACGGCGGAGAGCGGAACUCCGUGCGACAGACCGCGUGCUUCGCCUGACGGAACGGCGGGCAGGGCCGCCAGUGCUGGGGACUUGACCGACAGACCACAGGACAGUGCGGAUCCACUCGGCCCAGCAUCCGACUGCGGCAAUCCGUCUGCCAGUACUGGACAGUCGGUAGUGGGCGGCGCGGAACCCUGCGAUCAGACGGAUGGACCGGAGCAGGGCCCAUCCUUAGAGUCCGUCCGAGGAGCGUCUAUGGAGGAGGCCUCGCUGGAGCAGCAGCUGGCGGACGUGGAACGCCAGCUGAUGGACCGAGUCGCCUCAGCGCCCGGCCCCGCCGGCUCCGAUCAGGAUCUCGUGACUCUCAACUUCGUCGACACUGACCUGGAUGGUAAGUAAAAAGGCACCAAUGGCAUUGC